UCUAAGCUCCCAGGGUUGUGAGCCCCUGGGAGCGAUCGGCAAGUCGCUAUCAUGGGCCCUACUAGAAGCAAUUUAGCGAUUGGCUCUGGUUGAUUUUUCGGGUCGGUUUGGGUUUGAGAGGCGGUUAGAUGGAAAUAGGCCCACACCACGUAGGCACGGAGGUAGCACAAUCCAAUCCAACAGCUCAAUCUGAAUCCCCAUCCACUCUCCUCUUCCGCGAUGAGGAAGGAGGGGACGCGCCGGAGCCUUGAGGAGCGGACGGUGCCGGAGCUACAGGAGGACGCCGCGGCCCUCGCCGUGUAUCGCGCCGCCGGAUGAGGGCGCACUGCAGUGGCGCUGGACGUGUCGUCCGCCGCUGUAGGGCUAGGUCUCCUAUCUCGACCCUGCCAAGAUCGAGAAGGGAGGAUGCAGGCAAAAUAUGUAGGUUUUAGCACCCAAGACUUAACUGAUUUCAUUUCAUGGUGGCCUGGUGCAGGAUGGCAUGAUGCUGUGUGAGGUAGGAGUGGAUCAUCUAAGGUAACAUAGGCCUCCCCAACACUUGCUUCAUCCUAAUUCUUAGCCGUCUUUGCCAUUUCUUUUGCGAUUAUGGUUGCAUUAUAGCAUGUUCAUUUGGCGCCAAAAUGCGCUUGGAGUAUCAAUUUUACCAUCCAACUCAUUUUUGUGCUCAAAAUUUUCUAUUUUACAAUUCGUGGUUUGUACUGUGUAAACAAGAAGAACGAAGAAGCACUUACCUGUGAUGUAUUUACAAGCAGCGGCAGUAACCAGAACCUGAAAAAAAAAUCUUUGUACCUUUUAUUGUUUCGUUUAUAAGUAAUCACAUUUAGAGUUGUUCCAAGAAACAACAUGGAAUAUAUUAUUACUGCACAUAAAUACAGACUCAAACAUUCCAUAGCGGGGGUUCUCUCCUAUUGAUUCCUUUGAAUUUUAUUAAAUUACACCAGUUUGUGAUGCUUAUUUAUAAUUUUUUUAUGAAAUCUAUUUGGUUUUCUUUUGUUGGGUUAAAUAGUUACACCUCUUGAGUAUAUUAUAAUGUAUGUAUUAUGAUCUAUAUCAGGUUAGAAAAGCAGGUUGAGCAAUGUAGAUAAAUUCCAUCGUUGUAUUACUAUGUUCUUUAAACAAAAAACUUCUGAUUAGUAGUUUCGUUUACCUUACUUAUAAUGACACAAAUGCAGAAGACGAUAUGUGUAUGUGUAUAGGGAAGUUCAAAUUAUUAUAUUUCAAGAGCGUAUAGUGUUCAAUAUUGUUUGGUGCAUCUACUGUAUAAACUGCUGCAGAUAAAUUUGUAUGUAUGUUCGUCCAAUAAAAAAAAUGAGAUUACUGAUGUUGUUUCGUAUUUUCCGCAUGUGUUGUAUGGACUGAUAUCUCAGUCCUGCCUUUAUGAUUAAUUGCAGUGCACCUGAAAUCGAAACUAAUGGUGCGCUCUACUUCUCCACAUGGUUUGGGUGCAUGUACCAUGUUGUUAGAGCAUCCAUGACGCAAGGCGCUUACCCAGGCGCUGAAGUAAUUAGUAGUAUAAAUAGAAUAAAAUCAAUUGUGUAGCAAAUUACGUAUCACUGCAUUGCUGGGCUCUUAUUUGCGGUGCUAAUUCCGCCUAUCCUUCCACACCACAAGCCAGGGAAAGCAAGAUAGCGUCGGUACCAUCUUUUUUGCAUCGAUCGGGAUUGAAGGCAUCAACCGCCGAUCAUCCAAGAUUCUGAUCACCCUUUUUAGCACCGUGUUGCGGCUGCUCUUAGAGGCUUGUGAUAGUUUACUUGUUCACACGUUGCAUGUGCAAAGAAUUGAAAGAGUUGGUUGCUAUGAUGCGCUACCAUGAUGUCGAUCGCCAACUCA